rnacentral:lncRNA from 1 species
AUGUGUUUACCUCUAGAUAAGGAUGUUUUCAUGUGCUUCUAUGAAGAAAGAACACAGGGUUUUGCUAAAGAGAUAUUUUUUUCUGAAGUAGGACUGGAAAAGCUGAUCUGGAGCAUGCUGCAGGAGGUGGAAAUCUGCUCACUCCUUGGGGCCAAGUGCUUUGGCGAUGGAGGGAUUUUUUUUCUGUAUUCCUACACUUACAGGUCACUGCAAGCAAGGAAGGAGUCCCCAGCAAUGCUGACUGCCUUUGCGCUGCCCUCACGCCGUGCCUCUCCCUAAGGUAAGAAAAGGGAGACAAAGAGAUUCAGUGACCUGCCAAAGGUGAAGCCAACAACUGUUGAAAGAACUUGAAAUAAGAGCUUAUUUUUCGUGACUUUUGAGUCCUUUCCACAUACAAAUGCUAUACUGUAUAUCAGGACACGGCUCCACACUCUUUUAAAACUGUGGAUAACCAACCCUAAUCCAGGUCUUACGUGAACUCACAACUGUGUUUCUGUUGAAUUCCCCAGAACAGCAAUGUUAAUGCCAGCUGGAUGAGGACUGAUUGUACUGGAUCAAAAAAAAAAAAAAAGUCUCUGGGGCCAAAACUGCUUCUUCCGAGUUCUUUUGAACACACGUGAACUGGCAGAAAGAUUUUGCACCACUUCAACACCUUUCAUCAGACGGCUGUGAUGCGUUUGAGCUGGCAGCAGGAGCUCCCCCGGUGGGAUUAGCACCCCGUGGAGACACUGCUGAGCGUGACACCCCUGGAAGCAGAAGGGCAAUCAAAUGCUAAGCCUCUCUGAUGGUGUUUUCCACCUGCUUUCCUGCCAGCAUCCAACAUACAACUCGCCACCAUUUCCAGGGAAACAAAACUGUGUCAUCACCUCUAUGUGUGUGUGUGUGUGUGUCCCUCACAUCAACAUCUUUCAGCCUACGGGCGGCUUCAGCUGCAAUGAAUACAAGGGUGUAUGUCUCAAUACAUUCCUGCAUGCCCAGUGUAAAUAAGUUACAAGGGAGAGGAGAGAAGGGAAUUCAAAUGUGCACGGGUUCAUCCUUGUGACUCCUGAUCCCGACGGCUGGGUCGCAGGGCUGGGGAGCACGCGGCGGGCAACGUAGUCUUCAGGAGAAGUGCACCAAGAACUUUGGUAAGAUUUUAUCUACACGUUAGCCAAUCAGGAAACAAGUAUCCUCAACAGAAAGGACUUCAAUAAUUGCACUACAAAUGGAACCUGUUGGGGGAAAAAGUGAGAUAACGAAUGCACUGAACAGUGGAUGUUGAGCCCACGCUUGAUUUUUAU